UUCCAGACUCCUACGGGAGGCAGCAGUGGGGAAUAUUGCACAAUGGGGGAAACCCUGAUGCAGCGACGCCGCGUGAGCGAUGAAGUAUUUCGGUAUGUAAAGCUCUCUCAGCAGGGAAGAAGAUGACGGUACCUGACUAAGAAGCCCCGGCUAACUACGUGCCAGCAGCCGCGGUAAUACGUAGGGGGCAAGCGUUAUCCGGAUUUACUGGGUGUAAAGGGAGCGUAGACGGCGAUGCAAGCCAGAUGUGAAAGCCCGGGGCUCAACCCCGGGACUGCAUUUGGAACUGUGUGGCUGGAGUGUCGGAGAGGCAGGCGGAAUUCCUAGUGUAGCGGUGAAAUGCGUAGAUAUUAGGAGGAACACCAGUGGCGAAGGCGGCCUGCUGGACGAUGACUGACGUUGAGGCUCGAAAGCGUGGGGAGCAAACAGGAUUAGAUACCCCAGUA
rnacentral:rRNA from 1 species